CAUCUCGAUGGACCUUAUUUUCAAAAACGUUACCCUUCUGGUAGUAAUAUAUUUCACCUUUAUUGCCACAGAGGGUGAAGCACAAAAACAUAAUCUUCUCGCUAGAGUACAUUAUUUAACAGGGGAAGGAUAUUUUCCUGUCUGGUGGAGUUCGAUUUGGUAUGGCUGGGGAUUUAUCCAGCUCGGGUAUAUCCUUGCUGGGCUGUUCGCACUGUUCGUCUACACAAAUUGGGUUCGCGAACCGGAAUCAGACAAUGGCCCCUUUUACAACUACCGAAGUUUGGACAAUUCCCGGAGUCAACAAAGCGCUGCUAACUUGGACAGUCUAAUUGAAGAUUUUGGUUCCAAAUUCGUGGGA